UACGGAGGAUGCAAGCGUUAUCCGGAUUUAUUGGGUUUAAAGGGUGCGCAGGUUGUUUGAUAAGUCAGUGGUGAAAGUCUGUCGCUUAACGGUAGGAUUGCCAUUGAUACUGAAGAGCUUGAAUAUAGUUGAGGUAGGCGGAAUGUGCAGUGUAGCGGUGAAAUGCUUAGAUAUUGCACAGAACACCGAUUGCGAAGGCAGCUUACUGGGCCACAACUGACGCUGAUGCACGAAAGCGUGGGGAUCGAACAGG
rnacentral:rRNA from 1 species